rnacentral:lncRNA from 1 species
AAUUUAUUUUACAACAGAUUCAUGAAGUUGAUUAAGGUAGAAAAGAAAAAGGAUUUCUGAUUUUUCAACUUGUGAUUACUGUGGAAGCAGUAGUCCUUGCUGCAGAACCAAAAUAGAACUUUUUGUCCGUAUACAAUGGACAAAUUUAAAUAAUUUUAGAACAAUUACAGGUGUUACAAUAACUAUAGUCCUGGAAAAAGGGAGGGUGUUAUAGUAUCCUCUGUCAUAUUUACAAUUGUUCUCGUUUGUUUAAGUUCGAAUUAAACCUCCACCAUACUACAGAUUUUAAAUAAAUGCCGGAUCUCGUUGAGUAGAUCAAAACGUUCAUUAAUAUAAACGAGUUUCUCAAUUUACAUUUGUGAUGAAGAGUUAGCCGUUUCAUUAUCAGACGUGAAGUUUCUUGAUUUUUCCAGGCUGUUGCAUCUUUCAGAUUAAUCUGAUAAGUAGUGCAAGGCUUCUGAUUUUCAUGUUUGCCAGGAGGCCAAUCGUAUAAAGAAAGUUGUUGAUCCAAAAUUACAGUAUGACAUGUCUUUUGAGGUAUGCUAUUCUUGCCAAUUUAGUGAGAACUUCCAUCAAUGGAAUAAACAGCAUUUUUGAGGAUGUGAUUUUUGAAUAUAAACAGUAUUGUUUCAUCCAAGCUUAAGGGAUGCAAAGAUCACUUCUGGAGAUGAAUAUAUCGUGUUCUUGUCAUGUUGUGAAAAGGUUAGAUUUUGUACCGAAAGUUCAAAACAAGAAGUAACUUCAAUAAAACUUUAAACAUUUUUGGCAAUAAAAGUAAAUUUUAAGUUUAGCUAAACAUGCUCUGGAUACAUUGCAUUUGCACACAAGUUUAUUGCCAAUUCAGAAGGAUUUCCCUUUGUUUUAAGCAUACGAUUAUUUAUUUAUUUAUUUUAUAUAUAUUUAGCUAUACAAUCUUGAAUUGAUCACUACAUGAUUCGAUAUAUCAACUUGUAUUGCCCCCCCUUCUUUGUGGAGGUGUAUGAUUUGAACUGCAAAUGCUGUUAACAAAUUUCAACGUUAAGCAUUGUGUUAGUUUCCUCGUUUGUGUUUUAUUACUUGUUUGGUUGGUUUCCAAAAUAUUUUAAAUAAACAAUUACAAUCGAAAGUAAUGUCUUCUAGCUUGUGACUUGAUGAUACAUGUUCUUUGAUUAGGACUGAGUAUUUAGACCGCUAAACUGACAAAACCGACCAACGCACUAAGUUUAGUUUGGUGCCUAUAUUUGGGUCGGUUUGGGUUAGAGAUUGAAGAAACCGAAAUGUUCAUUUCAGUUACGAGUUGGCUCGUGAUUCAUGAUUGUUAUUCUUUACGUAUAUACAUGUUUCAUACUAUCAAAAUAAUUGCACAAUCAAGAAGUUCCACCGUGCAAAAAAUCGAUACCUUUGGCAACACAAAGGUUAGUACUUAGUUUAAAUCGACUCACAUACUAGGGUUACUCCAACACCACAAAGUUUAAUCAACAGUAUCACUGACGUUGCCCAUAAAUGCAUAUCCCACAAAGAACCUUCUUGCAUCUAUAUUGAGAAAAUAUUGAAGAAAAUCAGUCUGUGCAGAUUUCUGAGGAACAGCUACAUGAUGCAGUUCCCUAUAUAUCAGUUUGACUUAGCUUUGUAUGGAAAACCAGGCUUUGAUGUAUAAGGAAAAUUAAGCAGGCUUGCCAUAUUUGAAGUCUAUGAUGGGGACUACAGGGAAAUAGACAGCUGUAGGCUAUUGUUUUGUUUUAUGAUCUGUACAGAUUUGUAUUUUUUGUUAACCAUUGUGUAUAAAUUAGGAGUAAAGAUCUUGUAGAAUCUCAAUUCAAUCAAUACAAAUUCUUUGGUUUCCAAGAUCAAAUACUCCUCUUUUAUAAUGGUAUCAGAGUUGGAGCUUUGAAUCUCUCUUUCUCACCGAUCCUAACAUCCUUUCUUCACACCAGAACCUUCUUCUUCAUCAAACCUCAUUUUGGAUGAAGCUCACCAACCUGCAGAUGAUUUUUCCAAUCCCUAUUUCCUACAUCAUAGGGAGAGCCCUGGACUUGUUUUAGUCUCCCAACCAUUAACCCA